GAUGAACGCUAGCGGGAGGCCUAACACAUGCAAGCCGAGCGGUAUUGUUUCUUCGGAAAUGAGAGAGCGGCGUACGGGUGCGGAACACGUGUGCAACCUGCCUUUAUCUGGGGGAUAGCCUUUCGAAAGGAAGAUUAAUACUCCAUAACAUAUUGAUUGGCAUCAAUUAAUAUUGAAAGCUCCGGCGGAUAGAGAUGGGCACGCGCAAGAUUAGCUAGUUGGUGAGGUAACGGCUCACCAAGGCGAUGAUCUUUAGGGGGCCUGAGAGGGGGAUCCCCCACACUGGUACUGAGACACGGACCAGACUCCUACGGGAGGCAGCAGUGAGGAAUAUUGGUCAAUGGGUGCAAGCCUGAACCAGCCGUCCCGCGUGAAGGACGACUGCCCUAUGGGUUGUAAACUUCUUUUGUAUAGGGAUAAACCUACCCUCGUGAGGGUAGCUGAAGGUACUAUACGAAUAAGCACCGGCUAACUCCGUGCCAGCCGCCGCAGUAAAAC
rnacentral:rRNA from 1 species